ACAAUAAAUUGUAAUUUCUUUUUCUUGAUAUUUUAAGAUAUAUUUUCAUAUAUAUAUUUUAUAUAUUUUUAAAAUUAUAUAAAAAUACAUGGAUAUAAAAAUUGUGGACGAAAAAUGUUGUCCAAGAACUAAAAAUGUUACAAAGAAAUAAGAUGAAAGAAACAUACACAACAAUUAAAAUGUUAUCCAAGAACUAAAAAUGUUACAAAGAAGUUAGAUGAAAGAGGCACACACAAGAUGAAGAUAUAUGUGUGUGAAUAUAGACAAAAGUAUUGUGGACAGACGAGUGUAGACGUCGGGGUUGUGGACAAAAAUAAACAGAAAACAUGUGGAUGUGGAUGGCUGUGAGUUCUGCCCAUGAGUUUUACCAGCAUACCUCAGAGAACCAUUUUCCAAUUCCAAAUCACCGACUUUCAAACCUAUGCAAAUCACCAUCUUUCAAGCCCUAAUCUCAAUUAUAUCUUGGAAUGAUACCAAUCUCUCUCCAAAUACAGAUUCACCAUGUAAAUUUCUAUUAUCCGCCACCACCACUGUAUUUACCCCGUUCUUUACCCUAAACUUUGUCUUGUAUCCAAAAGUUCUUCCAGUUUCCUCUUUGCGAAAUUGCGGCCAUACAGCACCAGUUUUUUACUUUGAUUUUGCCAUGCUUUGAAAUAGUGAGAAAGAGGCGAGAAUAAUCGUCGAAGAAUAUCAGAAAAUUGAACAACCAAACUCAUGGAAAAGAAAUGAAAAGAUGGAGAUGAGAUUACAGAUUCAUAAUCGGCGGAGCAACCGAUUCUUGGUGUUAUACGAGAAACUGAGGAUGAAGAAGAAGAGGGUUCGAGGAGAUUAGAGUUAGAAAUUGGUGUUUGAGAAAUUUGGGAAAGCAAAUCUGAACUUUGAAAUAAAGUUGGAGAGAUAGUAUAUGUUAGUUUUCGAGAAGUAUAAAACUGGUUUAUACAUUUCUUUUUUUUUAAUUAUUUUUAAUUGAUAAUAGUUGAAAAAAGACAUUUUAGUUAGA
rnacentral:lncRNA from 1 species